rnacentral:rRNA from 1 species
AUGAGCGGGGUGAAGAAGGUGACGGACGUCGCGGCCAAGGCCGGGAAGGCGAUCGAUUGGGACGGCCUGGCGAAGAUGCUCGUCUCCGACGAGGCCCGAAAGGAGUUUGCCAACCUCCGCCGCACCUUCGAGGACGUCAACCACCAGCUCCAGACCAAGUUCUCCCAGGAACCAAAGCCAAUUGACUGGGAAUACUACAAAAAAGGAAUUGGAUCGAAAGUUGUGGAUAUGUACAAGGAGGCUUAUGAUAGCAUUGAGAUCCCAAAGUAUGUUGACACUGUCACUCCUGAGUAUAAGCCAAAGUUUGAUGCUCUGUUAAUCGAAAUGAAGGAAGCAGAGAAGACAUCUCUGAAGGAAUCAGAGAGGAUAGAGAAGGAGAUUGCUGAAUUGAAAGAGUUGAAGAAAAAGAUCAGCACAAUGACAGCAGACGAGUACUUUGCGAAGCACCCUGAACUCAAGAAGAAGUUUGAUGAUGAGAUCCGUAACGAUUACUGGGGAUACUAG